AUUGAACGCUGGCGGCAUGCUUUACACAUGCAAGUCGAACGGUAACAGGCCUUCGGGUGCUGACGAGUGGCGAACGGGUGAGUAAUGCAUCGGAACGUACCCAGAGGUGGGGGAUAACGCAGCGAAAGCUGUGCUAAUACUGCAUGUGAUCUGAGGAUGAAAUCGGGGGACCGAGCAGCAAUGUUUGGCCUCGCGCCUUUGGAGCGGCCGAUGUCGGAUUAGCUAGUUGGUGGGGUAAAGGCCUACCAAGGCGACGAUCCGUAGCUGGUCUGAGAGGACGACCAGCCCCACCGCGCUGGAGACACGGCCCAGACUCCUACGGGAGGCAGCAGUGGGGAAUUUUGGAUAAUGGGCGCAAGCCUGAUCCAGCAAUGCCGCGUGCGGGAAGAAGGCCUUCGGGUUGUAAACCGCUUUUGGCAGGAACGAAACGGUGUCCGCUAAUACCGGGCGCUAAUGACGGUACCUGCAGAAUAAGCACCGGCUAACUACGU
rnacentral:rRNA from 1 species